rnacentral:piRNA from 1 species
UGAGAACAGGGCAGACAAAAGUUGC